rnacentral:rRNA from 1 species
GAAAGUAAGCAAGGGCAGACGGUGGAUGCCUUGGCUCUCGGAGGCGACGAAGGACGUGAUAAGCUGCGAAAAGCUCGGGGGAGGCGCAAAUAGCCCUUGAUCCCGGGAUAUCCGAAUGGGGCAACCCGGCAGGCUGAAGGCCUGUCAUCCCGUAAGGGAGGCGAACGUGGGGAACUGAAACAUCUAAGUACCCAUAGGAGGAGAAAAUAAACAAUGAUUCCGUAAGUAGUGGCGAGCGAACACGGAAGAGCCCAAACCCAUGUCGUCUAGGCGACACGGGGGUUGUAGGACCACGACGUGGCAAGAUAGAGUCAAGUGGAACGCCUUGGAAAAGGCGACCGUAGAGGGUGAUAGUCCCGUACACGACUGACGAUUGAAGCCUAGUGGCAUCCUGAGUAGCGCGGGGCACGAGAAAUCUUGCGUGAAACUGCGGGGCCCAUCCCGUAAGGCUAAAUACUCCCGAGAGACCGAUAGCGAACCAGUACCGUGAGGGAAAGGUGAAAAGAACCCCGAGCAGGGGAGUGAAAUAGACCCUGAACCCGUCUGCCUACAAGCGGUCGGAGCAUCGUCAAGAUGUGACGGCGUGCCUUUUGCAUAAUGAACCUACGAGUUACCUUCCCCGGCAAGGUUAAGUACCUAAGGUACGGAGCCGAAGCGAAAGCGAGUCUGAAGAGGGCGGCCAGUCGGGGGGGGUAGACGCGAAACCGAGUGAUCUACCCUUGGCCAGGUUGAAGGUUGGGUAACACCAACUGGAGGACCGGAUGGGUAAGCGUUGAAAAGCUUUCCAAUGAGCUGAGGGUAGGGGUGAAAGGCUAAUCAAACUCGGAGAUAGCUCGUACUCCCCGAAAUGCAUUUAGGUGCAGCCUCUUUAUAGUAUAUCGUGAGGUAGAGCGACUGAUUGGAUGCGAGGGCUUCACCGCCUAUCAAGUCCAGAUAAACUCCGAAUGCGCGAUAUAUAUUUACAGGGAGUGAGGGCGCGGGUGCUAAGGUCCGUGUCCGAGAGGAGAAGAAUCCAGACCACCGGCUAAGGCCCCCAAAUGAUCGUUGAGUUGAACUAACGAGGUCGGAUCGCAGAGACAGCUAGGAUGUUGGCUUGGAAGCAGCCAUUCAUUUAAAGAGUGCGUAACAGCUCACUAGUCGAGCGAUCUGGCGUGGAUAAUAAUCGGGCAUAAACGAUCUGCCGAAGCCGUGGAUGUCGUAAGACAUGGUAGGGGAGCAUUCCAUGCGGCGUCGAAGAUGAGGGAUGACCCUUGUUGGAGCGCAUGGAAAAGCAAAUGUAGGUAUGAGUAACGAUAAGGGGGGCGAGAAACCCCCCCGCCGAAAGACCAAGGUUUCCUGAUCAACGCUAAUCGGAUCAGGGUGAGUCGGGACCUAAGGCUAAGCCGAACGGCGACGCCGAUGGAAGAAUGGGUUAAUAUUCCCAUACUGCCUCAUGGAGUGACGUGGAGACGGAGAAGUGACAGUCCUGCCGGCUGACGGAAUAGCCGGUUGAAGGGUGUAGGAGUUGAUCAUGGUAGGCAAAUCCGCCGUGAGAUCCGAACCUGACAGUAUACUGAGCGCUUGCGCGACGUAAUAUGGACGUAACCAUGCUCCCAAGAAAAUCCGCUAAACUUAUCCAUGCGGCACCCGUACCGUAAACGGACACACGUGGUCGGGUUGAGAAUACUGAGGCGCUCGAGUGACUCACGGUUAAGGAACUAGGCAAAUUGACCCUGUAACUUCGGGAUAAAGGGUCCUCGUCGUAAGGCGAGGCGCAGAGAAUAGGUCCAGGCAACUGUUUAACAAAAACACAUGGCUGUGCUAAAUGGAAACAUGAUGUAUACAGCCUGACACCUGCCCGGUGCUGGAAGGUUAAGAGGAGAUGUCAUCGCGAGAGAAGCGUUGAAUUGAAGCCCCAGUAAACGGCGGCCGUAACUAUAACGGUCCUAAGGUAGCGAAAUUCCUUGUCGGGUAAGUUCCGACCUGCACGAAUGGUGUAAUGAUCUGGACACUGUCUCAACCGUGAGCU